ACUUUUCUCAUUUUCUCUAGAAGUUUCUCAAAUUUCUUACCCUAAUUUCUCUCCCUCUCAACUCUUCCGUCGACUUCUCAACUCUUCAAGGGCGAAUCGAGCUGUUCUUCAGUGGUUUCUGUUUCUCUAUCUAUAUCUCUCUCAAGGUUUCCUGAACGUUUCUGUUUGUCGCCGACGACCUGCGCAGGUUCUUCUUUAUGCUUUCCUGAAGAUUUCACUUUCUUCCGGACGACGUGCGCAGCUAAGGAUCUCAGCUCGCAACGGAGAUUGCUUGCAACUGAAAGGUAGAAAUACCGGUGAUACAGGACAGCCUGCAGGCUCUUCAACUACCCCCAGAAACCAUAUAUACAUGGUAGCCCGUCCACAACAUUCACACGCAUCCCACAUGUGCUCACAGUUACAGAAAACAUAUACGGCACCCCUUUGACUUUUCAAGCAUUAUUUCUUUGCAUUUCUGCAACACAAGGAAAUAAACAAAUCUGCUCAUUCUGAUUGUUCAGGUUUUGGCAAAAUACAGAAAAUACAAUUGUACUUCAGAUGCAGUUUCUAAACCUACAAAUGUACCAUGUGCUUCAACUGAGGCAGAACAUAUAGUUGCUUCCUCAUCUACUUUUGAACUAGGAAUUCAACAAAAUAGAGAUAAUGUCCUUGCCCAAGAACAAACUUCUCAUCGAAAUUUGCGUCGACGUACUAGAUAUGCAGAAAUGUCACCGCACAGAAAAGAAUUACUUUUAUCCCAGCUAAGAGAAAAAAGGGCUGCAUCCAAAAGACAGAAAUCCCUUCUUCAAUCAAAUAAUACUGCUGCUCUUACAAUUACCACUUCGUCGUUAUCUCCUCCACAAUCUUCCAAACCUACAAGCGUACCAGGUGCUACAACUAGAGGAGAACAUAUAGUUAGUUGUU